GGCCGGCGUGAAGUUUGUGAGUUAUCUCAAUUGACUAUUCACAGUCAGUUACAGACUGAAGUCCCUGUUCUAUUCUUUACCCCUUUCUCACCACUGCACUUGACUAGUCUUUU
ensembl:misc_RNA Y_RNA Y RNA